UGGUAGGGGAAGGGCAGAAGAGGUGAGGGGGAAUGAAUGGGCUGCCUGAGAGAGAGAGAGACUUCUGUCUUUAAGGAAGGCCCCACCCCAUCAGGAUCCAGAUGGCGUUAAUGAUUGCUUUAGUUUGAGCUAUCCUGGUAACCCCCAGCCAGGGGACUUGAUUGAAGUGUUUCGUUCUGGCUAUCAGCACUGGGCACUGUACCUGGGUGAUGGUUAUGUUAUCAACAUAGCACCUCUAGAGGGUGGCAUU